rnacentral:rRNA from 1 species
AUGCUGAAUAAAGAAGCUCCAGGUUCUUCUCCGGCGAGGCGAUCGUCUCUUUGCUCGGUGAUGGAUUUGGGAACCAGUCUGUUCAAGCGGGGAUAUCGUGGCGGCGACGGCAUCCUUGUGGCGGACUUGUGUCCUCGGGCUCCGCCGUUGCGACGACGUCUGCUCCAGCGUCGGCGCGGAGCUUGGGAGGUAGAUCGGGAGCAGAUGCAGAUUGUGAUCUGCAUCGACGACAUCUGGAAGACAGAACAUGUGCUGAGUUCGUGGUUGAUGGAUGGCAGGUAUGGUUUCCUCCUCCAACAUCUUAGUUGGGCGGGGGUGCCAGAUCUGGAGUUUGAUGGCGUGUCCGGGGUGUUGCCCCGGUCUGAUUCGUUCAACGGCAAUGGCUUCAUCUUUGGUGAGCCACCUUGGAGGUCCGCAAAGCUGCAUAUCAGCGAUGGAGCCGCGCCGAGCUCGGGUGAGGAGGUGAUCCAUCAUUUUUUUUCUUUGGUGGCUCCUGUGAUGGUGCCGGAGGCAAGUGACGGACGUUGGUGUCAAGCUUAG